UAUUCCCACCAGGUUUCGAACCUGGGACCUUCCUCAUCUGAAGUGGAUGUGAUAACCACUACUCCAUGGGAAC